rnacentral:rRNA from 1 species
UUUGAUUUCCUUCGGGACUGAUUAUUUUGUGACUGAGUGGCGGACGGGUGAGUAACGCGUGGGUAACCUGCCUUGUACAGGGGGAUAACAGUUGGAAACGGCUGCUAAUACCGCAUAAGCGCACGGCAUCGCAUGAUGCAGUGUGAAAAACUCCGGUGGUAUAAGAUGGACCCGCGUUGGAUUAGCUAGUUGGUGAGGUAACGGCCCACCAAGGCGACGAUCCAUAGCCGACCUGAGAGGGUGACCGGCCACAUUGGGACUGAGACACGGCCCAAACUCC